UUACCAUGGCUGGAACUUCAUAGUUCUUGCCCAGUUUGCAGGUUUCAGUUGCCUGCUGAUGAGUCCAAGUCUGACUCUGAGAGGUCUCAGAUUAGCAUUAAUGAGAGGGAGAGCAACAAUACCAAUAAUAACAAUAGUAGCAGUAGAAGUACUAAUAAUAGUGAUAAUCAUCAAAAUCAUCAUCAUGGAAGUAGCAUUGAAGUGGCAGAAGGGGAGGGAAGAAAUGGAAAUG
rnacentral:misc_RNA from 1 species